rnacentral:rRNA from 1 species
AGGCAGCAGUGGGGAAUUUUGGACAAUGGGCGAAAGCCUGAUCCAGCCAUGCCGCGUGCAGGAUGAAGGCCUUCGGGUUGUAAACUGCUUUUGUACGGAACGAAAAGACUCCUUCUAAUAAAGGGGGUUCAUGACGGUAUUGUAAGAAUAAGCACCGGCUAACUACGUGCCAGCAGC